AGAGUUUGAUCCUGGCUCAGAACGAACGCUGGCGGCAUGCCUAACACAUGCAAGUCGAACGAACCCUUCGGGGUUAGUGGCGCACGGGUGCGUAACGCGUGGGAAUCUGCCCUUAGGUACGGAAUAACAGUGAGAAAUUACUGCUAAUACCGUAUGAUGUCUUCGGACCAAAGAUUUAUCGCCUAGGGAUGAGCCCGCGUAGGAUUAGCUAGUUGGUGAGGUAAAGGCUCACCAAGGCUACGAUCCUUAGCUGGUCUGAGAGGAUGAUCAGCCACACUGGGACUGAGACACGGCCCAGACUCCUACGGGAGGCAGCAGUGGGGAAUAUUGGACAAUGGGCGAAAGCCUGAUCCAGCAAUGCCGCGUGAGUGAAGAAGGCCUUCGGGUUGUAAAGCUCUUUUACCCGGGAAGAUAAUGACCGUACCGGGAGAAUAAGCCCCGGCUAACUCCGUGCCAGCAGCCGCGGUAAUACGGAGGGGGCUAGCGUUGUUCGGAAUCACUGGGCGUAAAGCGUGCGUAGGCGGCCAUUCAAGUCAGAGGUGAAAGCCCAGGGCUCAACCCUGGAACUGCCUUUGAAACUAGAUGGCUGGAACACGGGAGAGGUGAGUGGAAUUCCGAGUGUAGAGGUGAAAUUCGUAGAUAUUCGGAAGAACACCAGUGGCGAAGGCGGCUCACUGGACCGUUGUUGACGCUGAGGCACGAAAGCGCGGGGAGCAAACAGGAUUAGAUACCCUGGUAGUCCACGCCGUAAACGAUGAUAACUAGCUGUUGGGGCUCUUGGAGCUCCAGUGGCGCAGCUAACGCAUUAAGUUAUCCGCCUGGGGAGUACGGCCGCAAGGUUAAAACUUAAAGGAAUUGACGG
rnacentral:rRNA from 1 species